GCCGGCAACAAUGUGUUGUCAUGAUUUGUUGAUGAGGAAUGCCAUGCUUUCUGCCUACACCCCAAUGACUACCUGCGGCUCGGCUGUUGAUGCGGGAGGUGCUGUAGGGCCCUACUGCCUAACACUUUCUGACGAGGACAUCCUUGCAAAGAAUGAGAUCGUGGAUCCUAGCAUCGGCCUCCAGAAAAGGAAGGAAUGAUCCAUGUCGGGCAAGGUGUGCACGUCAACCAGGAAUGCGGGCAACAUGCGGCAAGCAGAGUGCGACUCCAUGUUUUGCAAGAUCACUGCUGCUUCCAUAGGGCUGCUUUUCACUACACCUGAGGGAGAAAGGUACUGCCAGGCUGAAAGGGCAGCCCGGCACCAGAAGAUACGGCGGUACCUGUCAGAAAAGCUGUCCAAUCUCAAGAGAAAUCACUACAAAGGCUCAUCCCUUUGCUGCCUGUCCUUCCCCGAUGCGUGGUCCCACCACAGACUGCCCAUGCUGUUGCAGGUCUGCCAUCGCUUGCACCCCAUGUUGUAGCCUUUUUGCCCUUUUCUUCAUAUUAAUUUAGCUUAAUUUAUAUAUUGCCAAUACUAUUGAAAUGGAACAAAUGUACUAUCGCAGCCAAUAUGAGCUGAAACGCCACUGCACGUGGCACGCGAUGAGAGUUGUCUCUCAGAUUGUUCAGCAAACCUUGGUAUGCGUUGAGGUAGAAACAAAUCACUCUUGUGCUCGUUGCACCACUAUGCCGUUCCGUGUCAAUUUUCAGCUCAUAGUGGCACAAUGAGUGCAAGAAGCAACCUGCCUAAACCUCAGCAAACACAGAGGUUCACUGAAAAUCCGACAGGUGGCUCUGAUAGUACCACA
rnacentral:lncRNA from 1 species